rnacentral:rRNA from 1 species
GAUGAACGCUGGCGGCGUGCCUAAUACAUGCAAGUCGAGCGAACAGACGAGGAGCUUGCUCCUCUGACGUUAGCGGCGGACGGGUGAGUAACACGUGGAUAACCUACCUAUAAGACUGGGAUAACUUCGGGAAACCGGAGCUAAUAACGGAUAAUAUAUUGAACCGCAUGGUUCAAUAGUGAAAGACGGUUUUGCUGUCACUUAUAGAUGGAUCCGCGCCGCAUUAGCUAGUUGGUAAGGUAACGGCUUACCAAGGCAACGAUGCGUAGCCGACCUGAGAGGGUGAUCGGCCACACUGGAACUGAGACACGGUCCAGACUCCUGCGGUAGGCAGCAGUAGGGAAUCUUCCGCAAUGGGCGAAAGCCUGACGGAGCAACGCCGCGUGAAUGAUGAAGCUCUUCGGAUCGUAAAGCUCUGUUAUUAGUGAAGAACAAAUGUGUAAGUAACUAUGCACGUCUUGACGGUACCUAAUCAGAAAGCCACGGCUAACUACGUG